AUCUAUCCACUGGCAUGGGCAGUUGUUGAGAGGGAAACAAAUGAUACAUGGAAGUGGUUUAUUGGCUUGCUGAUUAAAGAUCUUGACAUAAAUAACAAUGGAGUUAGAUGGGUGUUCAUUUCAGAUCAGCAAAAGGGACUGAUAAAUGCUAUGAAGGACUUUCUACCAAAUGCGGAACAUAGAAUGUGUGCUAGGCAUAUCUAUGCAAACUGGAUGAAGAAGCAUAGAGCACAUGAGUGGUAG
rnacentral:rRNA from 1 species